AUUUUUUUAAUGAUGUAUGAGGUGCGUUGAGGUUCAGGACGUUGCCGCUUACAGGAGGGUAGCCGAUGCACUUUCCGAGAUGCACUGAUGCCUUACCCUAAAUUGAGACAGGUGCUGCAUGGCUGUCGUCAGCUCGUGUCGUGAGAUGUUGGGUUAAGUCCCGUAACGAGCGCAACCCUUGUCCUUAGUUACCAGCACGUAAUGGUGGGCACUCUAAGGAGACUGCCGGUGACAAACCGGUGGAAGGUGGGGAUGACGUCAAGUCAUCGUGGCCCUUACGGCCUGGGCUACACACGUGCUAGAAUGGUCGGUACGAAGGGUUGCCAAGCCGCGAGUUGGUGCUUCAUCACAUAACACCGAUCGUUGUCCGGAUCGCAGUCUGCAACUCGACUGCGUGAAGUCGGAAUCGCUAGUUAAUCGUGAAUCAGAAUGUCACGGUGAAUACGCUCCCGCGCCUUGUACACACCGAGUGUUGUAGUCGAUGUAUUUGGCUCUUACCCUUCUGUGUGUUAGCGUCGAUUCAUUUGGGUGUUAGCAUCAGAGGAUUACCAGUCAGUAUGC
rnacentral:rRNA from 1 species